rnacentral:rRNA from 1 species
CCUACGGGGUCUGCAGUGGGGAAUAUUGGACAAUGGGCGAAAGCCUGAUCCAGCCAUGCCGCGUGUGUGAAGAAGGCCUUCGGGUUGUAAAGCACUUUCAGUGGGGAAGAAAGCCUUGGGGCUAAUACCCUCGAGGAAGGACAUCACCCACAGAAGAAGCACCGGCUAACUCCGUGCCAGCAGCCGCGGUAAUACGGAGGGUGCGAGCGUUAAUCGGAAUUACUGGGCGUAAAGCGCGCGUAGGCGGUCUGAUAAGCCGGUUGUGAAAGCCCCGGGCUCAACCUGGGAACGGCAUCCGGAACUGUCAGGCUAGAGUGCAGGAGAGGAAGGUAGAAUUCCCGGUGUAGCGGUGAAAUGCGUAGAGAUCGGGAGGAAUACCAGUGGCGAAGGCGGCCUUCUGGACUGACACUGACGCUGAGGUGCGAAAGCGUGGGUAGCAAACAGGAUUAGAUACCCUAGUAGUC